rnacentral:lncRNA from 1 species
AUUAAAUAAGUGUUAUUUUUUUAUUUUUUUCACUUUCUCCUCCAUUUUCAUGAUCAUUCCCCUUGUGUUCUAUCAUAUAUAUUGAAUGUUUAUCCUUAGGAUUAUUUUGAAGUGCUUUACUUUUAGCAACACAUAAAUUUUUUAUGCAUACUUCUAAAUCUUUAAAUAAUGCACUUUCUUCAUUCGUUUUUUUUUUUCCCACAAUGUACUGUGUUAUUUCUAUUAUUUAAUUGUUUGUUAUCUCCAUUUUCAUUUAUUUGGUUAUUAUCGUUAUUACCUGUAGUUGUGAUAGUAGCAUUAUUGUUACCGUCAUAAUUACUUAUAUUGUUACAUCCAGAAUUGUUACUACUUUCCACACUAAGUUGGUGCAUCAUCAUAUCUUUUAUUAUAUCAAACACACCAGUUUCUACUUUUUGACAUAUAUUUUUUUCAUCCAAAAAAUGUUUUUUUUUUUUUUUUUUUUUUUUUUUUUUAUUUUUCUUUUUUUUUUUUUUUUCUUAGUAUUUUUUUCUUUACUAUCUUUUAUUUUCAUAUCUUUUCGAAUGUCAUCAUUACCAUUUUUGUUUUGUAACUCUUUCAAUUUUUCUAAACUUUUUAUAUCCCAUUCGUUAUGUAUUUUAAUAGGUGUACUACUAUUACUACUAUUAAAUGGUGUAAUUGUUUUUUUAUUAAUACUUAUAGUUUCUUCUUUUUCUUCAUUCGUUUUGGUUUUUUUUUGUGCUGUUACAUUAGUAUGUUUCAGUUCUGAUAUUGAACCAGUAGGUAUUGUUGCACUUGCAACACCACCUGUACUAAGUUCUGGGGAUCCUAAUACUGUAUUGGUUUCUUCUUCUCCUUCUUCAUCAUCAUUUUUUUUUAUAGUUUUAACUGUAUUUUGCGUGACAUCGUUACUAUUAAGUUCAUUUUUUUUUGUCUGGUGUUUUUUUUAA